GCUGAGAUAGUGUAAGGGUAGCACGAUAAACGCCGUCUUCUACUUUUUACCCAAGCCGGGUCGAUUUGAGGAUGGUUAUCUGAAUUGGAAUCAGUCAGUGGUGGUUCGAGUCCACCUCUCAGCA
rnacentral:tRNA from 1 species